rnacentral:rRNA from 1 species
AUUGAACGCUGGCGGCAGGCUUAACACAUGCAAGUCGAGCGGGGGAAGGUAGCUUGCUACUGGACCUAGCGGCGGACGGGUGAGUAAUGCUUAGGAAUCUGCCUAUUAGUGGGGGACAACAUCUCGAAAGGGAUGCUAAUACCGCAUACGUCCUACGGGAGAAAGCAGGGGAUCUUCGGACCUUGCGCUAAUAGAUGAGCCUAAGACGGAUUAGCUAGUUGGUGGGGUAAAGGCCUACCAAGGCGACGAUCUGUAGCGGGUCUGAGAGGAUGAUCCGCCACACUGGGACUGAGACACGGCCCAGACUCCUACGGGAGGCAGCAGUGGGGAAUAUUGGACAAUGGGCGCAAGCCUGAUCCAGCCAUGCCGCGUGUGUGAAGAAGGCCUUCGGGUUGUAAAGCACUUUCAGCGAGGAGGAAGGGAUGUAUGUUAAUAGCAUGCAUUUUUGACGUUACUCGCAGAAGAAGCACCGGCUAACUCUGUGCCAGCCGCCGCCGUAA